rnacentral:rRNA from 1 species
CCUACGGGUGGCAGCAGUGAGGAAUAUUGGUCAAUGGCCGAAAGCCUGAACCAGCCAAGUCGCGUGCGGGAUGACGGCCCUACGGGUUGUAAACCGCUUUUGUCCGGGGACAAAACGCGUCACGUGUGACUCUUUGCACGUACCCUGCGAACAAGCGUCGGCUAACUCCGUGCCAGCAGCCGCGGUAAUACGGAGGAUGCGAGCGUUAUCCGGAUUUAUUGGGUUUAAAGGGUGCGCAGGCGGACGUUCAAGUCAGCGGUAAAAUUGCGGGGCUCAACCCCGUACCGCCGUUGAAACUGGAGCCCUUGAGUGCGCGACAAGCAGGCGGAAUGCGUGGUGUAGCGGUGAAAUGCAUAGAUAUCACGAAGAACCCCGAUUGCGAAGGCAGCAUACCGGGGUGCAACUGACGCUGAUGCACGAAGGCGCGGGUAUCGAACAGGAUUAGAUACCCGUGUAGUC